rnacentral:rRNA from 1 species
AUUGAACGCUGGCGGCAUGCCUAACACAUGCAAGUCGAACGGCAGCAUGGUCUAGCUUGCUAGACUGAUGGCGAGUGGCGAACGGGUGAGUAACGCGUAGGAAUAUACCUUAGAGAGGGGGAUAACAUGGGGAAACUCAUGCUAAUACCGCAUACCUUCUUAGGAAGAAAGCUGGGGACCUUCGGGCCUGGCGCUUUAAGAAUAGCCUGCGUCCGAUUAGCUAGUUGGUGGGGUAAAGGCCUACCAAGGCGACGAUCGGUAGCUGGUCUGAGAGGAUGGCCAGCCACACUGGAACUGAGACACGGUCCAGACUCCUACGGGAGGCAGCAGUGGGGAAUAUUGGACAAUGGGGGCAACCCUGAUCCAGCAAUGCCGCGUGUGUGAAGAAGGCCUGAGGGUUGUAAAGCACUUUCAGUGGGGAGGAGGGUUGAUUGGUUAAGAGCUGAUUGACUGGACGUUACCCACAGAAGAAGCACCGGCUAACUCCGUGCCAGCAGCCGCAGUAA